UCCUACAGAUAUCUUGUUCCAAGCCCUUGGGGGUACAAGUGCCAAGGAGAAUACAAAUCAGUUUUCACAUGUCGGGAGAUGGAUCAGACAUAUAAAGAACAACGACUAUCAGAAUCAUACAAAGGUUUUUUUUCUUCUACAAAGCAAGCAAGACGUGGAAAGCACAAGUGUCAUGCAGUUUACAUAACCAACAUAAUAGUCCAUACAGUCAUACGCAUAGAAGAACAAGUGCUUGGUACAUAUCAUGAUUACAAAAAGGACACAACUAACGGCAUCUUGGGAGAUAUAGUAGACGGCCAUUGUGUCGCACCUGGUGAUUCAACUGAACAUAACGAACAAGAAUGGCAAAGAGAAGUACAUGAAAAUUACUGUGAAGACAUCAGUUGUUUUUAAGUACCUCUUUACUCUUCGCGGUUGCGCUUGCGUUUUCCAAACAGAUCUUUGCGAGCUUUGCACACAGACUGUUUCCCAGCUUGUUUGUUGUCCAA
rnacentral:lncRNA from 1 species